AUCCAACUGACGAGUCCUGAAUAGGACGAAACUCGCGUCCUGGAU
rnacentral:hammerhead_ribozyme from 1 species